AUUGAACGCUGGCGGCAGGCCUAACACAUGCAAGUCGAGCGGAUGAAGGGAGCUUGCUCCUGGAUUCAGCGGCGGACGGGUGAGUAAUGCCUAGGAAUCUGCCUGGUAGUGGGGAUAACGUCCGGAAACGGGCGCUAAUACCGCAUACGUCCUGAGGGAGAAAGUGGGGGAUCUUCGGACCUCACGCUAUCAGAUGAGCCUAGGUCGGAUUAGCUAGUUGGUGGGGUAAAGGCCUACCAAGGCGACGAUCCGUAACUGGACUGAGAGGAUGAUCAGUCACACUGGAACUGAGACACGGUCCAGACUCCUACGGGAGGCAGCAGUGGGGAAUAUUGGACAAUGGGCGAAAGCCUGAUCCAGCCAUGCCGCGUGUGUGAAGAAGGUCUUCGGAUUGUAAAGCACUUUAAGUUGGGAGGAAGGGCAGUAAGUUAAUACCUUGCUGUUUUGACGUUACCAACAGAAUAAGCACCGGCUAGCUUCGUG
rnacentral:rRNA from 1 species